UUUUUUUUGUUUUUUUGCUGAAUUCACAGUUACAACUUAUACCAUUCCCUUUCCUUUUGUUACAUGGAGCCCUAUCUCUACUUUAAAUUCCAGCCCACACCCAAAGCCUUUUCAGCUAACUCCUUUUGUCAAACCUGAAUGCUUUUCACGGUUACAACUUAUGCCUUUCCUUUUCAGGUUUAGUUUCUUCCCCUUCCCCACUUGUUUCAGCUUCUAUUCUAUCGUUUCACGUUUUGUUUCAUCCACGCCAUAUCAUGGUUUUAGCUUCUGUUCUACUGUUUCACUCACGGUUUCAGCUUCUGUUCUAUUUUCGCUUCUAACGGCAGCCUCUCUGUCUUCCUACCUCUCCUCUCAUCCAUAUAAAUACUGACAUAAGCCGGGUGAUUUAGUUGAGUUGGAGAUUAUUGGAUUUGAAUCUUGCAUGUCUCCAUUGGAAACACCAAGAGGUGCCAAUUAGUUGAAUUACAAAGUUCGUGGCGGAUUUUGCCAAUUUGAGUUUGACUCGAUCUUAAUAUCUUUAAUUGUAAAUUUAUUAAUAUUAAGAUGUAAAAGCAGUUGUAUAUUUAUUUGAUUUA